rnacentral:rRNA from 1 species
AUUGAACGCUGGCGGCAGGCCUAACACAUGCAAGUCGAACGAGUGGCGGACGGGUGUGUAAUGUCUGGGAAACUGCCUGAUGGAGGGGGAUAACUACUGGAAACGGUAGCUAAUACCGCAUACCCACGGAUGUGCCCAGAUGGGAUUCGCUAGUGGGUGGGGUAAAGGCUCGCCGAGGCGACGAUCCCUAGCUGGUCUGAGCGGAUGACCAGGCACACUGGAAGUGAGACACGGUCCAGACUCUGACGGGAGGCAGAAGUGGGGAAUAUUGCAAGAUGGGCGCAAGCCUGAUGCAGCCAUGCCGCGUGUAUGAAGAAGGCCUGCGGGUGGUAAAGAACUUUCAGCGGGGAGGCGUUACCCGCAGAAGAAGCACCGGCUAAUUCCGUGCCAGCAGCCGCGGUAAUG